UCGUUAGAAAGGGAUAUGAAAAUCUGUCCCGUGCCUAUCAGGCAUCAGAGUUUGAAACUAAACAAC
rnacentral:ncRNA from 1 species